rnacentral:rRNA from 1 species
CCCCUAGUAACUGCGAGUGAAAUGGGAAAAGCUCAAAUUUGAAAUCUGGCAGUCUCCUUUUUCUUCUUUGGCUGUCCGAGUUGUAAUCUAGAGAAGUGCUUACCUACACUGGACCAUGUAUAAGUCUCCUGGAAUGGAGCGUCAUAGAGGGUGAGAAUCCCGUCUUUGACAUGGACUGCCAGUGUGUUGUGGUGUGCUCUCAAAGAGUCGAGUUGUUUGGGAAUGCAGCUCUAAAUGGGUGGUAAACUCCAUCUAAAGCUAAAUAUUGGCAAGAGACCGAUAGUGAACAAGUACCGUGAGGGAAAGAUGAAAAGGACUUUGGAAAGAGAGUUAAACAGUAUGUGAAAUUGUUGAAAGGGAAACGCUUGAAGUCAGUUAUGUUGGUUAGGGAUCAGCCCAGCUAAUUUUGCUGAGUGAAUUUCCUAGUCUGACAGGCCAACAUCAGUUCUGACUGCUAGAAAAGAGCAGAGGGAAUGUGGCACCUUUGGGUGUGUUAUAGCCUUUUGUCAUAUGUGGCAGUUGGGACUGAGGAAUGCAGCGUGCUGUAAAGCUGGGUUAUGACCACUUUCGCGCUUAGGAUGUUGGCUUUUAAUGGCUUCAAUCGACCCGUCUUGAAACACGGACCAAGGAGUCUAACAUGCCUG